AUUGAUAAGUUUGAAGUGAAAUCCUAUAGCUAAACUAUAGAACUGCUUUGAAAACUGUUAAUCUAGAAUGUGGGAGAGGUAGAUGGAAUUUCUGGUGUAGGGGUAAAAUCCGUAGAGAUCAGAAGGAAUACCGAUUGCGAAGGCGAUCUACUGGAACAUUAUUGACGCUGAGAUGCGAAAGCGUGGGGAGCAAACAGGAUUAGAUACCCUGGUAGUCCACGCCCUAAACGAUGUACACUAGUUGUUGUGAGACUAGAUCUUGCAGUAAUGCAGUUAACACAUUAAGUGUACCGCCUGGGGAGUACGGUCGCAAGAUUAAAACUCAAAGGAAUAGACGGGGACCCGCACAAGCGGUGGAGCAUGUGGUUUAAUUCGACGAUACACGAAGAACCUUACCUGGACUUGACAUAGUAAGAAUGAUUUAGAGAUAGAUUAGUGUCUGCUUGCAGAAACUUGCAUACAGGUGCUGCACGGCUGUCGUCAGCUCGUGUCGUGAGAUGUUGGGUUAAGUCCCGCAACGAGCGCAACCCUCGUCGUUAGUUGCUAACAGUUCGGCUGAGAACUCUAACGAGACUGCCUACGCAAGUAGGAGGAAGGUGAGGAUGACGUCAAGUCAUCAUGGCCCUUACGUCCAGGGCUACACACGUGCUACAAUGGGAUAUACAAAGAGCCGCAAUACAGUGAUGUGGAGCAAAUCUUAUAAAAUAUCUCCCAGUUCGGAUUGUAGUCUGCAACUCGACUACAUGAAGUUGGAAUCGCUAGUAAUCGUAGAUCAGCUAUGCUACGGUGAAUACGUUCCCGGGUCUUGUACUCACCGCCCGUCACACCAUGGGAGUUGAACUCAUUCGAAGCGGGGAUGCUAAAGUAGCUACCUUCCACAGUGGAUUCAGCGACUGGGGUGAAGUCGUAACAAGGUAACCGUAGGAGAACCUGCGGCU
rnacentral:rRNA from 1 species